rnacentral:sRNA from 1 species
GCCAAGGGAAAGAAGGUGGCUCCGGCCCCAGCUGUCGUGAAGAAGCAGGAGGCUAAGAAAGUGGUGAAUCCCCUGUUUGAGAAAAGGCCUAAGAAUUUUGGCAUUGGUGUUUGUGUGCAGAUGAUGUAAAAGAAUAUUUGCUAUCUGAGAGAUGGUGAUGACAUUUUAAACCACCAAGAUCGCUGAUGCACCAACACCCUUCCUAGUGGCCCCAGACAUGAACUUGACAUGGAAUUUGAGCCUCACUCGAUGUCACCCUUUACUUCUCAGGACAGGACAUCCAGCCCAAAAGAGACCUCACCCGCUUUGUGAAAUGGCCCCGCUAUAUCAGGUUGCAGCGGCAGAGAGCCAUCCUCUAUAAGCGGCUGAAAGUGCCUCCUGCGAUUAACCAGUUCACCCAGGCCCUGGACCGCCAAACAGCUACUCAGCUGCUUAAGCUGGCCCACAAGUACAGACCAGAGACAAAGCAAGAGAAGAAGCAGAGACUGUUGGCCCGGGCCGAGAAGAAAGCUGCUGGCAAAGGGGACGUCCCGACGAAGAGACCACCUGUCCUUCGAGCAGGAGUUAACACCGUCACCACCUUGGUGGAGAACAAGAAAGCUCAGCUGGUGGUGAUUGCACACGACGUGGAUCCCAUCGAGCUGGUUGUCUUCUUGCCUGCCCUGUGUCGUAAAAUGGGGGUCCCUUACUGCAUUAUCAAGGGGAAGGCAAGACUGGGACGUCUAGUCCACAGGAAGACCUGCACCACUGUCGCCUUCACACAGGUGAACUCGGAAGACAAAGGCACUUUGGCUAAGCUGGUGGAAGCUAUCAGGACCAAUUACAAUGACAGAUACGAUGAGAUCCGCCGUCACUGGGGUGGCAAUGUCCUGGGUCCUAAGUCUGUGGCUCGUAUCGCCAAGCUCGAAAAGGCAAAGGCUAAAGAACUUGCCACUAAACUGGGUUAAAUGUACACUGUUGAGUUUU